UACGUAGGUGACAAGCGUUGUCCGGAUUACUGGGCGUAAAGAGCGCGCAGGCGGUCGUUCAAGUCGCGUGUGAAAGCCCCCGGCUCAACUGGGGAGGGUCACGCGAUACUGAUCGACUCGAAGGCAGGAGAGGGAAGUGGAAUUCCCGGUGUAGUGGUGAAAUGCGUAGAGAUCGGGAGGAACACCAGUGGCGAAGGGCGGACCUGCCUGCCUGUAUCGACGCUGG
rnacentral:rRNA from 1 species